CUAACCAUUUGCAGGUGUCAUUACAAAGGCAGCACAUUCUCCCUAGUUGUUUAAAGACCCUGAGUGUUGGUUCGGCCGAGGGUUGAACCUGCAACCGCCCUCAUGGCAGUCCAGUGCUCCACUACUUCAGCUAACCGGUUGGCUUAGACGUCUGAGACGUUUGUUAAAUGGGUCGUUUAGACGCAUUUAACUUGAGACGUUUAAUUCGUCUGGUACUUAAUGCAUCCACCUUAUUUCCUGCAUUUAUACCAGUAUAAAUAACAGUGCCAAACACGCAGCAUACAGAGAUUUCAUGCAAGGGAAUACGGUUUGGUUCACAAGGAUGGUUUUGAUUUUGAUGUCAUUCUUGGAACUGAGUUUACAGCGCUGCAAGGAAGAAUCAGGGUUUGGAUAUGCACGUAUAAACUUCUUUCUGCUGCCAGUCGGCAGCGUUGUUGAUGAGUUGCAAGAGACAGACUCUGAUUUAGAUGACGAUGUAGACCGGUUAGAUCCCGACACAUACCAUCAAGAGUUGCUACAACCAGUGGAAUGGCUGCAGCCGAGUUGAUGCUCUGUCCACAGAGACAGAAGGGAAAAUAGAGUGCCCAACGUGUUCCAAACAGUUUGGAAUAGACGAAGUCAGCCUUCAUGCUGAUGAAUGGGCCAAUUCAUUCUGGAAGAUCUAGAGAGAUGGUGGUGAAAGUGAAAUCAUCUUGCAAAAUAACAUCGAACAUGGGCUGUCCCAGAAAGAUCUGAAGACUGAAAUUUUACAGCUGAGACGGAGGAGAAAGAGGAGGCUGUUGGUGUCACUAUAUGGAGGAAGAAGAUUUGGAAUGACUUCAAGCGUUCGUGUAAAUAGUACCAUACACCAGAGAGAAUUCUGAAGGCGACGUUCUCUGGGGAGCCAGCAGUGGACAGUGGAGGGCCAAAACAGGAGUUUUUUUACAGAUUCAAAGAGCAACAAAUGAAGAGCUCCCAGACAUCUUGCAAGAAGAAGGUACUUAUCCUUUACUUGAGAGGUUGGUUAUCAUGGGGUGCCUGCAAGGGAGACAAAAAAUCAAUUGAAAAUGUUAGGAGCCAUAAAAGAGCUUGCUGUGACCGAUUUCCUUAAAUGGCUGACUGGCUCUCGCGACUAUCCUCCCCUUGGGUUUCCAA